rfam:Gossypium arboreum cultivar AKA8401 contig_53942_1, whole genome shotgun sequence.
GCCGGAGUAGCUCAUAUGGUAGAGCACCGCAUUCGUAAUGCGAAGGUAAUAGGUUCAAUUCCUAUCUCCGGUA